rnacentral:lncRNA from 13 species
UUCUGGGAGCACAAUGAAAAGAGAAAAAUGGGAAAAGGAAGGCAAAUUUUUACUGAUCUCUCCGUUUGCACAGGGCCUGGAGGAGUGAAUCAGUGGCAGUGAGUGACAGAGUGGUCUCAGCAGGAAGAGGCGGAGGCAGCACUGGGGUUUGGAAAUGCUCUGUGAGUGACUCAUGUUUGACUGCAGGGAGGUGCAGGAAAACCCGGUGAAAAUGAACUAGAGAAAAUGGUGGAGUCAAUCGUGAUCUAAAUUGGC